rnacentral:rRNA from 1 species
AUAUCAAUAAGCGGAGGAAAAGAAACUAACAAGGAUUCCCCUAGUAACGGCGAGUGAAGCGGGAAGAGCUCAAAUUUAAAAUCUGGCGGUCUCAGGCUGUCCGAGUUGUAAUCUAGAGAGGUGUUUUCCGUACCGGACCGUGUAAAAGUCCCUUGGAACAGGGCGUCAUAGAGGGUGAGAAUCCCGUCCAUGACACGGACUACCAGUGCUCUGUGAUACACCUUCAAAGAGUCGAGUUGUUUGGGAAUGCAGCUCAAAAUGGGUGGUAAAUUCCAUCUAAAGCUAAAUAUUGGCCAGAGACCGAUAGCGCACAAGUAGAGUGAUCGAAAGAUGAAAAGCACUUUGAAAAGAGGGUUAAAUAGCACGUGAAAUUGUUGAAAGGGAAGCGCUUGUGACCAGACUUGCGCCGGGCAGAUCAUCCGGUGUUCUCACCGGUGCACUCUGCCCGGCUCAGGCCAGCAUCGGUUCUCGUGGGGGGAUAAAGGUCCCGGGAACGUAGCUCCUCCGGGAGUGUUAUAGCCCGGGGCGUAAUGCCCUCGUGGGGACCGAGGUUCGCGCAUCUGCAAGGAUGCUGGCGUAAUGGUCAUCAGCGA